AGAGUUUGAUCCUGGCUCAGAACGUACGCUGGCGGCACGCCUAAUACAUGCAAGUCGAACGCAGUAGCAAUACUGAGUGGCAAACGGGUGAGUAUAAUGUGGGAAUCUGCCUUUUGGUUUGGAAUAACACGAGGAAACUUGUGCUAAUACCGAAUAAGCCUUUACAGGGAAAGUUUUAAUGCCAAAAGAUGAGCCCGCACUUGAUUAGCUAGUUGGUGAGGUAAAGGCUCACCAAGGCAAUGAUCGAUAGCUGUUCUUAGAGGAAGACCAGCCACAUUGGGACUGAGACACGGCCCAGACUCCUACGGGAGGCAGCAGUAGGGAAUCUUGCACAAUGGGGGAAACCCUGAUGCAGCGAUGCCGCGUGAGUGAAGAAGGCCCUUGGGUUGUAAAACUCUUUCGUCGGGGAAGAAAAUGACUGUACCCGAAUAAGAAGGUCCGGCUAACUUCGUGCCAGCAGCCGCGGUAAUACGAAGGGACCUAGCGUAGUUCGGAAUUACUGGGCUUAAAGAGCUCGUAGGUGGUUAAAAUAGUUGAUGGUGAAAUCCCAAGGCUUAACCUUGGAACUGCCAUCAAAACUUUUUAGCUAGAGUAUGAUAGAGGAAAGUGGAAUUUCUAGUGUAGAGGUGAAAUUCGUAGAUAUUAGAAAGAACACCAAAUGCGAAGGCAACUUUCUGGAUCAUUACUGACACUGAG
rnacentral:rRNA from 1 species